rnacentral:rRNA from 1 species
AUUGAACGCUGGCGGCAGGCCUAACACAUGCAAGUCGAACGAGUGGCGGACGGGUGAGUAAUGUCUGGGAAACUGCCUGAUGGAGGGGGAUAACUACUGGAAACGGUAGCUAAUACCGCAUACCAUCAGAUGUGCCCAGCUGGGAUUAGCUUGUUGGUGGGGUAACGGCUCACCAAGGCGACGAUCCCUAGCUGGUCUGAGAGGAUGACCGGCAAAACUGGAACGGAGACACGGUCCAAACGCCGACGGAAGGCAGCAGUGGGGAAUAUUGCACAAUGGGCACAAGCCUGAUGCAGCCAUGCCGCGUGUAUGAAGAAGGCCUUCGGGUUGAAAAGUACUUUCAUCGGGGAGGCGUUACCCGCAGAAGAAGCACCGGCUAACUCCGUGCCAGCCGCCGCGGUAAUAC